UGCGUAGGCGGCCUGACAAGUCAGAGGUGAAAGGCUACGGCUUAACCGUAGUAAGCCUUUGAAACUGACAGGCUUGAGUACAGGAGAGGAAAGUGGAAUUCCUAGUGUAGCGGUGAAAUGUGUAGAUAUUAGGAGGAACACCAGUGGCGAAGGCGACUUUCUGGACUGUAACUGACGCUGAGGCACGAAAGCGUGGGGAGCGAACAGGAUUAGAUACCCUGGUAGUCC
rnacentral:rRNA from 1 species